rnacentral:lncRNA from 1 species
CGUCAUUAAAUACAUGGAUAGAGUUCGAUCAAAAUUGCUAGUUUUCGCUCAAACUCUAUAUUUUAUGUCUAAGCAUCCACUCAAGAUGUGUGAGUACUUUCAUAAAAGCACAAUAAUAUGUUAUUUAAAAUUCAAAAUUCAUAAACUUAAAAACUCCAAUUCCGCAUGCAAUCCAACACGACACGGUGUCGUUAGGAACGUUGCUCGGGUUUUGGUUCUUCCGGAUCAGCUUCUUCCUUAUUUCAUGAUAAUCGGCGGUGGUGGACUAGAUACUCUGUAUGCCAACAAGAAAAAUUAAAUUACAGUUAGAAUUAAUCUUUCAAUUAAAACAUUAAGUAUGAAAAUAAAAAAAGAAAAAAUUAUUAAAACUGAAGGUGUUUUAUAAUUAAAAAUCCGUACAGAUGACUGCGCCUAUUUGCCGUAGGCGCAGGAUUGGAUUUAAUCGGGGUCUCUCUGGCAAUGCGACCCCUAAUUAAACCCAAAUUCACUUCGAGACUGACAGUGGAGGACAAGUUUAAGUUCCUCGAUUCGCUUUGAACACACAAUGAUAAAAUAAGAAAUAUUACAAGAAAAUUGAAUGCAGUAAUAGCAAGUUUCUUCAUUUUAAAAUUGGAUGCCUUUUAAGAUAUGGGUUGUUGUAGUUGUAAGGAAG